rnacentral:rRNA from 1 species
UACGGAGGGGGCAAGCGUUGUUCGGAAUCAUUGGGCGUAAAGGGCGCGUAGGCGGCCGUCCAAGUCGGGUGUGAAAUCCCUCGGCUCAACCGAGGAACUGCACUCGAUACUGGUCGGCUAGAGUCCGGGAGGGGAUGGUGGAAUUCCCAGUGUAGCGGUGAAAUGCGUAGAUAUUGGGAAGAACACCGGUGGCGAAGGCGGCCAUCUGGACCGGAACUGACGCUGAGGCGCGAAAGCGUGGGGAGCGAACAGG